rnacentral:rRNA from 1 species
AACGAACGCUGGCGGCAUGCCUAACACAUGCAAGUCGAACGAGACUUCGGUUUAGUGGCGGACGGGUGAGUAACGCGUAGGAACCUGCCAAGCAGUGGGGAAUAACAGCUGGAAACGACUGCUAAUACCGCAUACGCCCUUCGGGGGAAAGAUUUAUCGCUGUUUGAGGGUCCUGCGUUCGAUUAGCUAGUUGGUGAGGUAACGGCCCACCAAGGCGACGAUCGAUAGCUGGUCUGAGAGGAUGAUCAGCCACACUGGGACUGAGACACGGCCCAGACUCCUACGGGAGGCAGCAGGUGGGGAAUAUUGGACAAUGGGGGAAACCCUGAUCCAGCAAUGCCGCGUGCGUGAAGAAGGCCUUAGGGUUGUAAAGCGCUUUCACCUGUGAUGAUGAUGACAGUAGCAGGAGAAGAAGCCCCGGCUAACUCCGUGC